rnacentral:lncRNA from 1 species
GUCCAGGCAGCCACCUGGCCUGAGACUGGCCUGGCUUUGCCGUUUCCUUUGGCAGCUCCCAAGACCUGAGGGUAGGAGUCCUGGGCAGCUGGGACCUGCCAGGCCAUUCUGUAUCUCCCAUGGGGCUCACAACCCGGGGACCCCGUUCCUAUCUGAGAGGACCCCUUCUUCCUGAAGCUGGAGCCCGAUACUUGUUGGUGCCAACAACUGAAACCAGCAGGAAAAGAGGGUGUGUGAGCCGGGGGAAGACCAUGGUCAUCAGGAUCAUCAGCUCUGCAGGACUCUGAGACACCAUUCCUGGCUCCCAAGGCCUAGCACUGCCUCCAACCAGCUGGUGACAUGCCAAGGUGGAGAUGCGCCCAAUGGCAUGAGGAACUCAGUCAGGACCAACCUUGACCCCUGCUCCGGAUAUGGCAAACUGAUGUGCAGACACACGUUUUCACGUGGGGCACGUGUGUCCGUUUAGAGGCCAGAAGUCAACUUCAGGUCUCAGGAGGGAGAGCUGCUUAGCCUCAACCUGGCGCAUGGGCACAGGCCACCACGCAGACAAGAAAUGAAGGCACUGAAGGAAGCUAAAGAUGCCCCCAUUGUUGCUGCCUGCUGCUGCCUGCUGCUGCCUGCUGCUGCCUGCUGCUGCCUGCUGCACUGGUAACCCUUCCCAGCAUCCCUGGAGAGACACCAUCCCAGUGUUCUAUACAACAGGCAAUAAGUAAACACCUGUUGGGGCUAGUGCCAUCAAUAUUGCCCGUGCUCAAUUAAAUAUGUCAUUUGUUUGGGAACUGGGGGGGCCUUCUGUGUGGCAGUUUCAAUGUUAAUAAAUGAAUGAGUAAGUCAGCAAA